rnacentral:ncRNA from 1 species
GAAACUCACCAGGUCCAGACACAGUAAGAAUUGACAGAUUGGUAGCUUUUUUUUGAUUUUUUGGUUGGUGGUGCAUGGCCAUUCUUAGUUGUUGGAGUGAUUUUUCUGGUUAAUUCCAAUAACAAACAAGACCUUCUCCUGCCAAAUAGUCCAGCUGGCUAUGGUAGAUUAUCUUUGGUGUGUGGUUUUUGAUUUUUUUAAUAGCCCAAUUUACAUUGGGACCUUUAAGACAGCUUGUCACCGCUUUAAAAAUGAAAUUCUCAUGAUUUUUUUGUUGUCAUCAGAUUUGACUGUUUUAGAACAAUCUGAGAACUUGAAAAAAAAAAUGUCAAAAUUUUGUGAUAUGUUGG